GAUGAACGCUGGCGGCGUGCCUAAUACAUGCAAGUCGAGCGAACGGACGAGAAGCUUGCUCCUCUGAUGUUAGCGGCGGACGGGUGAGUAACACGUGGAUAACCUACCUAUAAGACUGGGAUAACUUCGGGAAACCGUAGCUAAUACCGGAUAAUAUUUUGAACCGCAUGGUUCAAAAGUGAAAGACGGUUUUGCUGUCACUUAUAGAUGGAUCCGCGCUGCAUUAGCUAGUUGGUAAGGUAACGGCUUACCAAGGCAACGAUGCGUAGCCGACCUGAGAGGGUGAUCGGCCACACUGGAACUGAGACACGAUCCAGACUCCUACGGGAGGCAGCAGUAGGGAAUCUUCCGCAAUGGGCGAAAGCCUGACGGAGCAACGCCGCGUGAGUGAUGAAGGUCUUCGGAUCGUAAAACUCUGUUAUUAGGGAAGAACAUAUGUGUAAGUAACUGUGCACAUCUUGACGGUACCUAAUCAGAAAGCCACGGCUAACUACGUG
rnacentral:rRNA from 1 species